rnacentral:rRNA from 1 species
UGGGGAAUAUUGCACAAUGGGGCGAAAGCCUGAUGCAGCAACGCCGCGUGAGGGAAGACGGUUUUCGGAUUGUAAACCUCUGUUUUCGGUGACGAACAAAUGACGGUAACCGAGUAGGAAGCCACGGCUAACUACGUGCCAGCAGCCGCGGUAAUACGUAGGUGGCAAGCGUUAUCCGGAAUUACUGGGUGUAAAGGGAGCGCAGGCGGGAUAGCAAGUCAGCUGUGAAAACUAUGGGCUCAACCCAUAAACUGCAGUUGAAACUGUUAUUCUUGAGUGGAGUAGAGGUA